rnacentral:rRNA from 1 species
UACAGAGACUGCAAGCGUUAUUCGGAUUCACUGGGCGUAAAGGGUGCGCAGGCGGCCAAGUGUGUCAGAUGUGAAAUCCCGAGGCUUAACCUCGGAACUGCGUCUGAAACUACCUGGCUAGAGUGCUGGAGAGGGUAACGGAAUUCACGGUGUAGCAGUGAAAUGCGUAGAUAUCGUGAGGAACACCAGAGGCGAAGGCGGUUACCUGGACAGUUACUGACGCUCAGGCACGAAAGCGUGGGGAGCAAAAGGG